GACGAACGCUGGCGGCGUGCCUAAUACAUGCGAGUUGAGCGCUGAAGGUUGGUACUUGUACCAACUGGAUGAGCAGCGAACGGGUGAGUAACGCGUGGGGAAUCUGCCUUUGAGCAGGGGACAACAUUUGGAAACGAAUGCUAAUACCGCAUAAAAACUUUAAACACAAGUUUUAAGUUUGAAAGAUGCAAUUGCCUCACUCAAAGAUGAUCCCGCGUUGUAUUAGCUAGUUGGUGAGGUAAAGGCUCACCAAGGCGAUGAUACAUAGCCGACCUGAGAGGGUGAUCGGCCACAUUGGGACUGAGACACGGCCCAAACUCCUAAGGGAGGCAGCAGGAGGGGAUCUUCGGCAAUGGACGAAAGUCUGACCGAGCAACGCCGGGGGAGUGAAGAAGGGUUUCGGAUCGUAAAACUCUGUUGGUAGAGAAGAACGUUGGUGAGAGUGGAAAGCUCACCAAGUGACGGUAACUACACAGAAAGGGACGGCUAACUACGUG
rnacentral:rRNA from 1 species